rnacentral:rRNA from 1 species
GUAGUCAUAUGCUUGUCUCAAAGAUUAAGCCAUGCAUGUCUAAGUAUAAGCAAUUAUACCGCGAAACUGCGAGUGGCUCAUUAAAUCAGUUAUCGUUUAUUUGAUAGUACCUUACUACAUGGAUAACCGUGGUAAUUCUAGAGCUAAUACAUGCUAAAAAUCCCGACUUCGGAAGGGAUGUAUUUAUUAGAUUAAAAACCAAUGCCCUUCGGGGCUCUCUGGUGAUUCAUAAUAACUUCUCGAAUCGCACGGCCUUGCGCCGGCGAUGGUUCAUUCAAAUUUCUGCCCUAUCAACUUUCGACGGCUGGGUCUUGGCCAGCCGUGGUGACAACGGGUAACGGCGAU